ACGUACACUCCUGCGGGAGGCAGCAGUGGGGAAUCUUGCGCAAUGGGCGAAAGCCUGACGCAGCCAUGCCGCGUGAAUGAUGAAGGUCUUAGGAUUGUAAAAUUCUUUCACCGGGGACGAUAAUGACGGUACCCGGAGAAGAAGCCCCGGCUAACUUCGUGCCAGCAGCCGCGGUAAUACGAAGGGGGCUAGCGUUGCUCGGAAUUACUGGGCGUAAAGGGAGCGUAGGCGGACAUUUAAGUCAGGGGUGAAAUCCCGGGGCUCAACCUCGGAAUUGCCUUUGAUACUGGGUGUCUUGAGUAUGAGAGAGGUGUGUGGAACUCCGAGUGUAGAGGUGAAAUUCGUAGAUAUUCGGAAGAACACCAGUGGCGAAGGCGACACACUGGCUCAUUACUGACGCUGAGGCUCGAAAGCGUGGGGAGCAAACAGGAUUAGAAACCCCAGUAGUCCCAUGAU
rnacentral:rRNA from 1 species